CUGCUUCUACUUUCUGUAUGAAGCUGGGAGCGUCUGCCUGUUGGACGCCUGAAGAGCGUCAAGUUUAAUCCUUGGGAUGAAGAUGAAGAUGACGACUUACGGCUCCCCACUUGGGCUUAUAAUGGAGGCGAUGAAGCAUGCUACAGUGUCAUUUCAAUAUAUCAGAAGGAGUUUAAGAGUGGCAACUGCCGGCCCAUAUGA
rnacentral:rRNA from 1 species